GACCGGACACGGGCAGCGAGCGCCACCUCCAGUCUACAUCUGCACGCGACCCUCCCAUUUGGCCCCGGCCCGCCCUUUCUGCCGCCUCCCCUGCUCCAUGCUCGCCUUGCUCUUUCUCUUCCGCAGCCCUUCCGCGUGCCUUGCCAUCGUACGUGGCGGUGCCAACACACACACAGACACACAUACACACACCCGCCCACACUCACACACACACACACACCCGCCGGCCCGCACUCACACACACACAAUACAUCAGCGCAGCUGCCCUUGGCUUGGUCUCGGAUGCACUCAGGGGACUUCUGAAAACCAGGUAUCCCUUCGUUUACACUCCUGACUGUGUGCUAUGUAACCUACAAGUAAGGUGGUUGCUCACUCCACUGAAGGAUCUGAAAAACAGAUUACCGGGAGAAGCAGAAACAUUUACUAGGGAAAACUUAGAGGACACAACUCAGGAAUGGAAUGCAGGAGCUGAGACAAAUGAAGGACACUCUAUUUUGGAAUUGUAUGUAUUUUAAAAUAAAGAGGCUGCUUUUAACCCAGGAAGUGAGUCAAAUGGACUAAAAAUUAUGUGGUCUAUCACCCUCUGGGGCCGAAUAGUCCGACAAUUGCUUACAUAUCUGAGCAGACCAUUCAUACCAUCCUUGGGCAGCUAGGUCAUAAAUAUGUCACCCCAGAUUCCUUCGCCCCUUCAGUACCUAUAUAAGCUCACUUCCUUUCCCAGUUAAUUGCUAAUAUCUUUCUCCCCUGGUGUUAGCCCAUCCUCUCAGAGACGCAAUCUUUCCCAGCUAGCUGCCACUGUCUCUCUCCCAUUGUCAGUCCAUCCACACACGGCUGUGAUAAACUCUGCUUUUCCCAGAUAGCUGCUAAA